AUGGCGUUCCGCAGAACCAUCGCACGGAGCAUAUGGGCAGCCAAGAACGCGGCCACCUGCGCCGCCGCCGUGCCCAAGCCCAAGCCCCCGCCUCCCAUUCUCCCGGCGCGCCGGACGCUGCCGGUGGUGGAGGACUGCCCGACGCUCGCAUUCCUGCGCCCGCGCCCGGCCACCGCCCGCUACUCCACCGUCUCCGUCCCGCUCCCGCACCACUGCUUCCCCGCCUUCCCCGUCGGCGACCAGCUGUUCAACCGCCUCGUCGACGGGCUCACGCCGCCGCCUGCCGCCGUGCCGUGGAGGCCCGGGGAGACGGGCGUGACGCUGCACGAGGCGAGGAAGGUGGCGAGGGCGGCGGAGAUGGAGGCGGCGCGCGCCACGCUGAGGGCCAACCCCGAGAGCGUCGUGUCCAGGUCAGAGUACGCCGCGCUCUGCAUCGACAUUGCGGGCGGCGAGGAGGGCGGGCGCAAGCUCGCCGUGGCGCUCGACGAGUCCGGCGUCGUCAUCGUCCUCGCCGACGCCGUCUUCCUCCGCCCCGACCAGGUUGCGAAGGCGAUCGGGAGCAUGCUGCCGUCGCCGGCGCGAGCAGCAGCCGCGGGCGACGACGUCGAGGCGCGCAAGCUGGAGCUGCGGGCGCUGGAGCGGCAGAAGGCGGCCAUCGACGCCAAGGCGGCGGCGCAGGUGCGGCGGGAGCUGUGGUGCGGGCUGGGCCUGCUGGCGGCACAGACGCUGGGGUUCAUGCGGCUCACCUUCUGGGAGCUGUCGUGGGACGUGAUGGAGCCCGUGUGCUUCUACGUCACGUCCAUCUACUUCAUGUCCGGCUACACCUUCUUCAUGAGGACGGCCACGGAGCCGUCCUUCGAGGGCUUCUACCGGAGCCGCUUCGCGACGAGGCAGCGCCGCCUCAUGCGCGCCCGCCAGUUCGACGUCGCCCGGUACAACGCUCUGAAGCAAGCGGAGCUGCGCGGCGUGUCCGGUUCUGUGGCACAAAGCGAUCAUGGCGAGUGCGAUGCCGACGUGUUUAGGCACGCCACGCACGUACAUCAGUAG
rnacentral:rRNA from 1 species